UUUUCCUUAUGAAAGUGAGAUCAAACAAUUACUUUUAUAAAGAUAGAAUAUAUAUUUUGCAUCCUUCUACAUCUGCUUCGAUGUUGUACUUUCAAUCGAAGGUGUAUUUUCACAUGGAACUGUGGCGAUCAAAGGUCGAAGAAGGCUAACACUUGUCGGAAAUUAAAUUCGAGGUUAUAUGCGAAUAUGAAAUAUAGUACAAGUCCCCUGGUAUGAUUUAUGUCAUUGCAUGUUUAUGUUCUUCGAGCCCCUUCUUUCAUUCGUGGUGUUGUGUAUAUAUAGGUUCAAAAGUUGCUGGCCGUUGAAAACGAUAAACUUGCAAAACUUGAAGAAGAAAGUGAUGCUUGGAUACAAGUUUGUUUUACUGCCACUCGUCUCACACUCUUGAUUAAUGGUGGCAAAGAGGACAUGUUGGGUAAUAGUCUGGUCAGACAAGGCUUAGGUUGAAAGUAUGGCCCAAAACCUAUCAAGCCGGGAUCUUGACUGUCACCAGCUAUUGUUGCAGCCAUGUCCAUCGCUUAGAUAAUAGGGUCAUAUUUCAUGGAUGUUACCAAUGUUUGAGCUUCUACUUUCAUCACCGCAUGCUGAUAAUUUGAUACAAACACUUAUAAUCUAUUUUAUUUCUAAAUCACAUGUCUGCCGAGCAGACCUUAAAUUUGAAAUACAUAUAAUUUAAGUGUAA